rnacentral:rRNA from 1 species
GAUGAACGCUGGCGGCGUGCCUAAUACAUGCAAGUCGAGCGAACGGACGAGAAGCUUGCUUUUCUGAUGUUAGCGGCGGACGGGUGAGUAACACGUGGAUAACCUACCUAUAAGACUGGGAUAACUUCGGGAAACCGGAGCUAAUACCGGAUAAUAUUUUGAACCGCAUGGUUCAAAAGUGAAAGACGGUCUUGCUGUCUCUUAUAGAUGGAUCCGCGCUGCAUUAGCUAGUUGGUAAGGUAACGGCUUACCAAGGCAACGAUGCAUAGCCGACCUGAGAGGGUGAUCGGCCACACUGGAACUGAGACACGGUCCAGACUCCUACGGGAGGCAGCAGUAGGGAAUCUUCCGCAAUGGGCGAAAGCCUGACGGAGCAACGCCGCGUGAGUGAUGAAGGUCUUCGGAUCGUAAAACUCUGUUAUUAGGGAAGAACAUAUGUGUAAGUAACUGUGCACAUCUUGACGGUACCUAAUCAGAAAGCCACGGCGAACUACGU